rnacentral:sRNA from 1 species
CUGAGGUACGCCAUCUCCGGAGGGUCCUGUGUCACCGCUUGAUGCUAAACCCUCAGCAUGUGCAGCUCCUUUUUGACAAUGAAGUUCUCCCUGAUCACAUGACAAUGAAGCAGAUAUGGCUCUCCCGCUGGUUCGGCAAGGUAAGCCAGGCCACCCUCCCUGGCAUCACACCCCCUUCAGACUCCUCCCAACCAACCUACAGUCCUCAGGGGAAGGGUGGGCUGAGGGGCCCUUUGAAUAAUAUAACACUCCCUACUGACUACUACUUCCUCAUUCUCUCCUUAGCCAUCCCCUUUGCUUUUACAAUACAGUGUGAAAGAGAAGAGGAGGUAGGGGCCAAGCCCCCACCCCAUCCCACUCCCCUUCCCUUCCCAGAUAUUUAUGUGAAAUGAACUGCAGCUUUAUUUUUUGAAAUAAAAACUUUUAAAAA